UCGAAUGUUCCCUCUUUGUUU
rnacentral:piRNA from 1 species